AGCAUAUCAAUAAGCGGAGGAAAAGAAACUAACAAGGAUUCCCCUAGUAACUGCGAGUGAAGCGGGAAAAGCUCAAAUUUAAAAUCUGUCAGUCUUUGGCUGUCCGAGUUGUAAUCUAGAGAAGUGUUAUCCGCGCUGGACCGUGUACAAGUCUCCUGGAAUGGAGCGUCAUAGAGGGUGAGAAUCCCGUCUUUGACACGGACUGCCAGGGCUUUGUGAUGCGCUCUCAAAGAGUCGAGUUGUUUGGGAAUGCAGCUCAAAAUGGGUGGUAAAUUCCAUCUAAAGCUAAAUAUUGGCGAGAGACCGAUAGCGAACAAGUACCGUGAGGGAAAGAUGAAAAGAACUUUGGAAAGAGAGUUAAACAGUACGUGAAAUUGCUGAAAGGGAAACGCUUGAAGUCAGUCGCGUUGUCCAGGGAUCAACCUUGCUUUUGCUUGGUGUACUUUCUGGUUGACGGGUCAGCAUCAAUUUUGACCAUUGGAAAAAUAUCAGGGGAAUGUGGCAUCUUCGGAUGUGUUAUAGCCCUUGGUUGUAUACAAUGGUUGGGAUUGAGGAACUCAGCACGCCGCAAGGCCGGGUUUUUAACCACGUACGUGCUUAGGAUGCUGGCAAAAUGGCUUUAAUCGACCCGUCUUGAAACACGGACCAAGGAGUCUAACAUACCUGCGAGUGUUUGGGUGGAAAACCCGAGCGCGUAAUGAAAGUGAAAGUUGAGAUCCCUGUCAUGGGGAGCAUCGACGCCCGGACCAGACCUUUUGUGACGGUUCCGCGGUAGAGCAUGUAUGUUGGGACCCGAAAGAUGGUGAACUAUGCCUGAAUAGGGUGAAGCCAGAGGAAACUCUGGUGGAGGCUCGUAGCGAUUCUGACGUGCAAAUCGAUCGUCAAAUUUGGGUAUAGGGGCGAAAGACUAAUCGAACCAUCUAGUAGCUGGUUCCUGC
rnacentral:rRNA from 1 species